rnacentral:misc_RNA from 1 species
CAACCCUCAAGCCCCAGUGCUUGGUGUUGGGGUAUAGCCUGUAAAAAGGCUAGCCCUGAAAUCCAGUGGCGUGCUCGCUAAGACUCCGAGCGUAGUAAUUCUCUCUCGCUUAGGUUGGAUUAGCGGUGCGCAGCCGUAAAACCCUCUAUAUCUGAAA